rnacentral:rRNA from 1 species
GACGAACGCUGGCGGCGUGCUUAACACAUGCAAGUCGAACGGAAAGGCCCUGCUUGUGCCUGGUGUCCGAGUGGCGAACGGGUGAGUAACACGUGAGUAUCCUGCCCUGGACGGUGGGAUAACUUCAGGCGACUGGGGCUACUACCGGAGAGGAGCGCGUGCUGCAGGGGGGGGGUUGGACAGUUUCGGCUGUUGGGGAUGGAUUCGCGGCUAAUCAGCUGGUGGGUGGGGUAGUGGCCUAGCGAGCCAUUGGCGGCUGGCCGGCCCGGGAGGGUGGCCGCCCACCUUGGGCCUACGAUACGCCCCAGACUCCUACGGUGGGCAGUGGUGGGGAAUAUUACACAAUGGGCGCAAGCGUGAGGAAGACACGCUGCGAGUGUGAAGAACGCCUACGGGUUGUGAACCGCUUUAGCCUGUGACCAAGCGUGUGUGACGUUAAUGAGUAAAGAAGCACCGGCUAACUACGUG